UCUGUCUUCCAGCUAUCCCACCCAAUUUUGUGUCAUUUGCAAAUUUGAUAAGCAUUUCCUGCACCUCCACAUUCAAGUCAUUAAUAAAAAUGUUGAAGAGCAUUGUGUCCAGGACUGAGCCCAGAGUCUCUACCUGGAUCAUUUUUCCUACCUGGACUUUGCUGAGUUCUACACCCUGGAUUCUAGAAGAGAUCUCUUUCAACCUUCCUCACGAUCUAUGAAAGUCUGGUGUUCAGAUCUCUUCUUGGUACAGAUUCCUACAUCACUUGUUGGAUGAAAGAGAUGGAGAAGAAGUUACUUAGGCUAGGCUUCUCAGUGGAAACUGGGCAACCAUGGGCUUCAGAAGGCCCAAUUUCUUGUUGUUCAAAGACUAAUACACCUAGAUCUACACUGCUGCCAACAAAUCUUGUUCUCUGUUACUCUAUAAUAACUACGGACUCACUCCAACUUCAUAUCUGCAUACGUUAACCAUUACAAAGUACAGAAGAGCAUUUACCCUUGCUCUCUUUAAUGUGUUGCCAUCAGCAUUACUAGAACGACGAUUUAGUAAGAUCCUGGUUAAUGAAUGGAUAUGUCCCUGUGGUGCUGGAACAACAGAAUCUGUUGAACAUGUCCUUUUGUAUUGUAAUAUGUAUAAGGAAUGCAGAAAAAAAACUAAGUAACUCCACAAUUUUGGUAUUAAUUUAAGGGAUGUGUCCUCUUGUAUAACCAAAGGGGUUGCUAAGGUUUUAAAUGACAAAUUAGGGGGGAAAUGUUGCUAUCCUCCUGAGAGAAGAAUUCUACAAAAUUGUAUUUUGCUAUUAUGUUACUUUUUAACUAUCUUUUACAUGCUUUAUAUUAACUUUGCUAGUCUGUGACGGUAAUAAAUGAAAUGGAUUUGAUUUUA